rnacentral:rRNA from 1 species
UUUGGGGGUCUAAACAUGCAAGUCGAGCGGACAGAAGGGAGCUUGCUCCCGGAUGUUAGCGGCGGACGGGUGAGUAACACGUGGGUAACCUGCCUGUAAGACUGGGAUAACUCCGGGAAACCGGAGCUAAUACCGGAUAGUUCCUUGAACCGCAUGGUUCAAGGAUGAAAGACGGUUUCGGCUGUCACUUACAGAUGGACCCGCGGCGCAUUAGCUAGUUGGUGAGGUAACGGCUCACCAAGGCGACGAUGCGUAGCCGACCUGAGAGGGUGAUCGGCCACACUGGGACUGAGACACGGCCCAGACUCCUACGGGAGGCAGCAGUAGGGAAUCUUCCGCAAUGGACGAAAGUCUGACGGAGCAACGCCGCGUGAGUGAUGAAGGUUUUCGGAUCGUAAAGCUCUGUUGUUAGGGAAGAACAAGUGCAAGAGUAACUGCUUGCACCUUGACGGUACCUAACCAGAAAGCCACGGCUAACUACGUGCCAGCAGCCGCGGUAAUACGUAGGUGGCAAGCGUUGUCCGGAAUUAUUGGGCGUAAAGGGCUCGCAGGCGGUUUCUUAAGUCUGAUGUGAAAGCCCCCGGCUCAACCGGGGAGGGUCAUUGGAAACUGGGAAACUUGAGUGCAGAAGAGGAGAGUGGAAUUCCACGUGUAGCGGUGAAAUGCGUAGAGAUGUGGAGGAACACCAGUGGCGAAGGCGACUCUCUGGUCUGUAACUGACGCUGAGGAGCGAAAGCGUGGGGAGCGAACAGGAUUAGAUACCCUGGUAGUCCACGCCGUAAACGAUGAG